GCUGGGCAUGGUGGCACAUGCCUGUAAUCCCAGUGCCUUGGGAGAUUGAGACAGGAGGAUCCCAAGUUCAAAGUCAGCCUCAGCAAAAAAAAGUGAGCCCCUGUCUCUA
rnacentral:sRNA from 1 species